GAUGAACGCUGGCGGCGUGCCUAAUACAUGCAAGUCGAGCGAACAGACGAGGAGCUUGCUCCUCUGACGUUAGCGGCGGACGGGUGAGUAACACGUGGAUAACCUACCUAUAAGACUGGGAUAACUUCGGGAAACCGGAGCUAAUACCGGAUAAUAUAUUGAACCGCAUGGUUCAAUAGUGAAAGACGGUUUUGCUGUCACUUAUAGAUGGAUCCGCGCCGCAUUAGCUAGUUGGUAAGGUACAGGCUUACAAAGGCAACCAGGCGUAACCGACCUGAGAGGGUGAUCGGCCACACUGGAACUUAGACACGGUCCAGACUCCUACGGGAGGCAGCAGUAGGGAAUCUUCCGCAAUGGGCGAAAGCCUGACGGAGCAACGCCGCGUGAGUGAUGAAGGUCUUCGGAUCGUAAAACUCUGUUAUUAGGGAAGAACAAAUGUGUAAGUAACUAUGCACGUCUUGACGGUACCUAAUCAGAAAGCCACGGCUAACUACGUG
rnacentral:rRNA from 1 species